rnacentral:rRNA from 1 species
UACAGAGGUCUCAAGCGUUGUUCGGAUUCAUUGGGCGUAAAGGGUGCGUAGGCGGCGCGGUAAGUCGGGUGUGAAAUCUCAGAGCUUAACUCCGAAACUGCAUUCGAUACUGCCGUGCUUGAGGACUGGAGAGGAGACUGGAAUUUACGGUGUAGCGGUGAAAUGCGCAGAUAUCAGGAAGAACACCCGUGGCGAAGGCGGCUCUCUGGGACGGUACUGACGCUGAGACGCGAAAGCGUGGGGAGCGAACAGG